AUUGAACGCUGGCGGCAUGCCUAACACAUGCAAGUCGAACGGUCACACGAAGCGGCUUGCUGCUUCGCUUACGAGUGGCGGACGGGUGUGUAAUGUCUGUGAAACUGCUUGAUGGAGGGGGUUAACUACUGGAAACGGUACCUAUUACCGCAUAUCGUCUCAAGACCAAAGAGGGGGACCUUACGGCCUCUUUCCUUCGGCUUUUCCCUGAUGGGAUUAGCUAGUAGGUGGGGUAACGGCUCACCUAGGCGACGAUCCCUAGCUGAUCUGAGAGGAUGACCAGCCACACUGGAACUGAGACACGGUCCAGACUCCUACGGGAGGCAGCAGUGGGGAAUAUUGCGCAAUGGGCGAAAGCCUGAUGGAGCCAUGCCGCGUGUGUGAAGAAGGCCUUCGGGUUGUAAAGUACUUUCAGCGGGGAAGAAGGGAGUAGUGUUAAUCCCUUUGCUCAUUGACGUUACCCGAAGAAAAAGCAACGGCUAACUACGUG
rnacentral:rRNA from 1 species